AGAGUUUGAUCCUGGCUCAGAGUGAACGCUGGCGGCGUGCCUAACACAUGCAAGUCGAACGAGAACGGGUAUUAGUUUACUAAUACUGUCAGCUAAGUGGCGCACGGGUGAGUAAUAUAUAGUUAAUCUGCCCCAAAGAAGAGAAUAAUUGUUGGAAACGACUUGUAAUGCUCUAUAUGCCUUUAUCACAUAAGUGAGCAAGGGAAAUAUUUAUAGCUUUGGGAUGAGACUGUACGGUAUCAGAUAGUUGGUGAGGUAAUGGCUCACCAAGUCUAUGACGCCUAACUGGUUUGAGAGGAUGAUCAGUCACACUGGAACUGAGACACGGUCCAGACUCCUACGGGAGGCAGCAGUGGGGAAUAUUGCACAAUGGAGGAAACUCUGAUGCAGCAACGCCGCGUGGAGGAUGACACAUUUCGGUGCGUAAACUCCUUUUAUUAGGGAAGAUAAUGACGGUACCUAAUGAAUAAGCACCGCUAACU
rnacentral:rRNA from 1 species